AAUUACUUUUAUGUGAAUUGCAUUUACGUAUGGGUGAAUUUCAUUCACGUAUGGGUGAAUAGAAUUCACUCAUACGUGAAUUGUAUUCACCUAUAUGUGAAUUUUAUUCACCCAUACGUAAAUGCAAUCCACAUAAAAGUAAUU
rnacentral:miRNA from 1 species